rnacentral:tRNA from 1 species
UCCCUGGUGGCUCAGACAGUAAAGAAUCUGCCUGCAAAGCAGAAGACCUAGGUUUGAUCCCUGGGUCGGGAA